UUAGCAUGGGAAUAAUGGAAUAGGACGUGCGGUCCUAUUUUGUUGGUUUCUAGGACCGCCGUAAUGAUUAAUAGGGACAGUCGGGGGCAUCAGUAUUCAAUUGUCAGAGGUGAAAUUCUUGGAUUUAUUGAAGACUAACUACUGCGAAAGCAUUUGCCAAGGAUGUUUUCAUUAAUCAGUGAACGAAAGUUAGGGGAUCGAAGACGAUCAGAUACCGUCGUAGUCUUAACCGUAAACUAUGCCGACUAGGGAUCGGGCGAUGUUCUUUUUCUGACUCGCUCGGCACCUUACGAGAAAUCAAAGUUUUUGGUCUGGGGGAGUAUU
rnacentral:rRNA from 1 species